rnacentral:rRNA from 1 species
UACAGAGGUCUCAAGCGUUGUUCGGAAUUAUUGGGCGUAAAGGGCGCGUAGGCGGCCCGGUAAGUCAAAGGUGAAAUCCCUCGGCUCAACUGAGGAAUUGCCUUUGAAACUGCCAGGCUUGAGGCCGGGAGGGGGUAGCGGAAUUCCCAGUGUAGCGGUGAAAUGCGUAGAUACUGGGAGGAACACCAGUGGCGAAGGCGGCUACCUGGACCGGUUCUGACGCUGAUGCGCGAAAGCGUGGGGAGCAAACAGG